rnacentral:rRNA from 1 species
AGAGUUUGAUCAUGGCUCAGAUUGAACGCUGGCGGCAGGCCUAACACAUGCAAGUCGAGCGGUAGCACAGAGAGCUUGCUCUCGGGUGACGAGCGGCGGACGGGUGAGUAAUGUCUGGGAAACUGCCUGAUGGAGGGGGAUAACUACUGGAAACGGUAGCUAAUACCGCAUAAUGUCGCAAGACCAAAGUGGGGGACCUUCGGGCCUCAUGCCAUCAGAUGUGCCCAGAUGGGAUUAGCUAGUAGGUGGGGUAACGGCUCACCUAGGCGACGAUCCCUAGCUGGUCUGAGAGGAUGACCAGCCACACUGGAACUGAGACACGGUCCAGACUCCUACGGGAGGCAGCAGUGGGGAAUAUUGCACAAUGGGCGCAAGCCUGAUGCAGCCAUGCCGCGUGUGUGAAGAAGGCCUUCGGGUUGUAAAGCACUUUCAGCGGGGAGGAAGGCGAUAAGGUUAAUAACCUUGUCGAUUGACGUUACCCGCAGAAGAAGCACCGGCUAACUCCGUGCCAGCAGCCGCGGUAAUACGGAGGGUGCAAGCGUUAAUCGGAAUUACUGGGCGUAAAGCGCACGCAGGCGGUCUGUCAAGUCGGAUGUGAAAUCCCCGGGCUCAACCUGGGAACUGCAUUCGAAACUGGCAGGCUAGAGUCUUGUAGAGGGGGUAGAAUUCCAGGUGUAGCGGUGAAAUGCGUAGAGAUCUGGAGGAAUACCGGUGGCGAAGGCGGCCCCCUGGACAAAGACUGACGCUCAGGUGCGAAAGCGUGGGGAGCAAACAGGAUUAGAUACCCUGGUAGUCCACGCCGUAAACGAUGUCGAUUUGGAGGUUGUGCCCUUGAGGCGUGGCUUCCGGAGCUAACGCGUUAAAUCGACCGCCUGGGGAGUACGGCCGCAAGGUUAAAACUCAAAUGAAUUGACGGGGGCCCGCACAAGCGGUGGAGCAUGUGGUUUAAUUCGAUGCAACGCGAAGAACCUUACCUGGUCUUGACAUCCACAGAACUUUCCAGAGAUGGAUUGGUGCCUUCGGGAACUGUGAGACAGGUGCUGCAUGGCUGUCGUCAGCUCGUGUUGUGAAAUGUUGGGUUAAGUCCCGCAACGAGCGCAACCCUUAUCCUUUGUUGCCAGCGGUUAGGCCGGGAACUCAAAGGAGACUGCCAGUGAUAAACUGGAGGAAGGUGGGGAUGACGUCAAGUCAUCAUGGCCCUUACGACCAGGGCUACACACGUGCUACAAUGGCAUAUACAAAGAGAAGCGACCUCGCGAGAGCAAGCGGACCUCAUAAAGUAUGUCGUAGUCCGGAUUGGAGUCUGCAACUCGACUCCAUGAAGUCGGAAUCGCUAGUAAUCGUAGAUCAGAAUGCUACGGUGAAUACGUUCCCGGGCCUUGUACACACCGCCCGUCACACCAUGGGAGUGGGUUGCAAAAGAAGUAGGUAGCUUAACCUUCGGGAGGGCGCUUACCACUUUGUGAUUCAUGACUGGGGUGAAGUCGUAACAAGGUAACCGUAGGGGAACCUGCGGUUG